CCACCGGAUAACGCAUCACUUGAUCACUGAUGGCUCAACGGUAUCCGGUGGACAGGUUAAUAUGAACGGCUACCUAUUGAGCGGGCAGCCGCAAUCCGAGACGGAGGCAUUCCGUUAGGACUGCGGUUCUUUCACUGCGCCCAUUUUGCAGCCGACCG
rnacentral:ncRNA from 1 species